AAACACUGAAAAUACUGGAUGCCAUUACAGUUGAUUUGAUAAGCAAGUAGCUCUGCGAUGACUAACAGGAACACAUUCAUACAGUGAAUCCCAGCCAAGAGACUGCUGGAGAUUCCACUCCUGCUCAUCUCAGUCACCUAGACGUGCGCUUGUGGCUCCAGGGUUCCAGCAUGUGACGGUCACUCAACCUCAAUCCCAGGUCAUCUUUCCAAAAUCUGACCCAGGGAAACUUCACCGUGAACGCUGAACACCAACCAUGCCUAAUUCCCUGGCCUGGUGCUAAAGCCAAAUGAUGUAUUAACCUGGCCCCGAGAAGUUCCAACAGAAUGGGUCAAAGGAGACAUUCAUAAAUAGAUGAACAUUUAGUUAAAGAGCUGCUAUUGAGAAACAGGAAAGGAACGUGGGCUGGAGCAGUCCCAAGAUUCAAUUGGUCAAAAUUAAAGCAGGUGCUGGGCUCUGUAGGUCCCGGGAACCCACGGAGGAUGGAUGGUUUGCCAGCACUCACAGGAUGCCAAACCCAGGCCUGCAACACGUCCUCACGCUGAGCACCUCAAAGCAUUAACAGAGACAGGACGUAUGGAUUAAAGCUCAUGAAAAAACAACCGAUCAUUUAUUUUCCAAUACACUGUGAAUAUUUAAAAGAAUAAAAUCAUCUGCUAUGCCUGAGGUGAUUUAAUCAUGUUU